UACCAUGUAUACCAUGAACAUACAAUAAAUAUACAGGCCUAUGUCACUUAUGCUUUGCCUUGGAAGCUAUGUAAUCUCUCAUCUCAACAGGAUCUUCCAAAAGUAGUCAGUUAAAUUUAUUAUUUAUUUUUAAUAGUAUACGUUGAUUAUAUAUUUUUUUAUUUUUGUAUUGUCAUUUUUUCUUGAGUCGAAGAUUUAU
rnacentral:lncRNA from 1 species